UUUGCUUCAAACGACAACAAGAGAGACAGAAAGUAUCUGGUUCAACCGCUGCCCAAGCAGGCAGGCACCAGAAGAGCUAGCAGCCAAUCCGGCCAUGCUCGAAGCCAGCUCUGCAGCUCAGCCAAUCAGUGACAUCACUGCUAUAAGGCUAUCCAGUUACCUAUUCCUUGUUGAGGAAGCUUUGGUUGUUCAAAUUUUUCAAGGAAUUAUUCCAUUUCAUCCAAGAUGUCCCAUCAGGAUCUUUCCCAAUGAGCCAGUUCUUCCCAUCACAUGGCCAAAGUAUUAGAGCUUCAGCUUCAGCAUCAGUCCUUGCAG